rnacentral:lncRNA from 1 species
GUUACGUGGCGCACAGAGAACGUCGCUUCCAGAGGACCGUUUUUUCGUAACUGGCAGUAGUAAUCUGGCGGUUGACACUCUCGUUGCCUGUAUAGGCUGAUGGCCCACUCACCUUUUUAGCUGGGCUCCUGACCUGUCCGGCCAGAAAGUUGCCACUGGGAAACCUGGACCCCUACUGAAUGGAUCUGCUGGCACCUAGACCUCAGAGAAGGGGGAACUGAAGACUGAAGUCUGACCACUGUUCUUUGUUGAAAAUUUCUUUCUCAGGGGCUUGGAGGGAUCACAUCUACAAUCCUGAGCUAAUAUUCUCUUCUGCUGUCCCCAAAAUUUAAACGAAGCUUCUCUUAACCCAUUGCAAAUGAGAAAAAUCUUUGAAUCUACCUAUGACUAUAAGCCCUUAUUUCAAGAUAUCCUGCCUUUUUAGGCCAGAACCAAAGUGUAACCUCCAUCUAUUGAUUUACAAUUUUGCCUGUAACUUUGGCUUUCCUGAAAUUUACCCCAGCCUUAAAAAAAAAAAAGAACAGAAAAAGAAAACUGCAAGGCAUCAGGGAGGUCAGAAUUUGGGCAUGAGCUGCCUGAUCCUCCUUGCUUUGCAUCUUUGCAAAUAGAUGCCUUCAGCUGUGCAUGAUGGCUCACACCUCUCAUCCCAGCACUUUGGGAGGGCAAGGCGGGAGGAUUGCUCCAUCCCAGGAGUUCGAGAUCAGGGGCAAAAUGCCGAAACCCUGUCUCUACAAAAAAUUAAAAAAUUAGCUGGGCAUGAUGGUGCACUUCUGUAGUCCCAGCUACUUGGGAGGCUGAGGCAGGGGGAUUGCUUGAGCCCAAGAGGUUGAGGCUACAUGAGCCAUCAUCGUGCCACUGCACUCCAGCCUGGGAAACAGAAUGAGACCCUGUCUCAAAACAAAACAUUUGAAAAAUAACAAGUUCAGGUGCAGUGGCUCAUACCUGUAAUCCCAGCACUUUGGGAGGCCAAAGUGGUCGGAUCACUUGAGGCCAGGAGUUCAUGACCAGCCUGGCCAACAUGGCAAAACCCCAUCUCUACUAAAAAUACAAAAAUUAGCUGGGUGUGGUGGCUGGCAACUCUAGUCCCAGCUACUCCGGAGGCUGAGGCAGGAAAAUCACUUGAACCCAGGAGGCGGAGGUUGAAGUGAGCCGAGAUCACACCACUGCACUCCAGCCUGGGCAACAGAGCAAGACUCUGUCUCCAAAAAUAACAAAAAAUAAAUACAUGCCUUCCUUUCUACUGCUGCACAACCUCACUGUGUCAGGCAGGCAUCUCUGGAUCCAGCUGGUUUUUGUUUUGCUGAGGCUCAGCUUCUUCCUGGAACUUUUUGAAACAACACUCAAGGGUCUCAAGUGGGUAUUUUUUCAUGUUGUAUACCCAAAAACCUGAAAACCCAGGGCCCUGGGUUACAGUAUUUCCACGUCGUAUACCCAAAAACCUGAAAACCUGGGGACCCUGGGUUCCAGUAUUUCCUGGCGAUCUUACCCACUACCACCAUCUAGUCAAUUUGAACCACCUCCUCAACCACCUAUGAGGGCCUAAACACUCUUUCACUCCCUUUCCUGCCAGCACCCCUCAAGCUGAUAAAAAUACUUUGGUCUUUAAAGCCGACUGGAAAUGCUGAGUCAAAAUCAAAUUUGGAAUAUUUAAAGUGGAUUCAAAAAUAUUUCAGCAAUGCAGACAAUUGUGAAUAAUGAAGCUGUUGGUAAUAUAUGUCUUGAUAUCCUAUACAACAAACAAAUUGUCUGAAUAUGUACGAG